UGGGGAAUAUUGCACAAUGGGCGCAAGCCUGAUGCAGCCAUGCCGCGUGUAUGAAGAAGGCCUUCGGGUUGUAAAGUACUUUCAGCGAGGAGGAAGGCGUUGUGGUUAAUAACCGCAACGAUUGACGUUACUCGCAGAAGAAGCACCGGCUAACUCCGUGCCAGCAGCCGCGGUAAUACGGAGGGUGCAAGCGUUAAUCGGAAUUACUGGGCGUAAAGCGCACGCAGGCGGUAUGUCAAUUCGGAUGUGAAAUCCCCGGGCUCAACCUGGGAACUGCAUCAGAAACUGGCAGGCUAGAGUCGUGUAGAGGGGGGUAGAAUUCCAGGUGUAGCGGUGAAAUGCGUAGAGAUCUGGAGGAAUACCGGUGGAGAAGGCGGCCCCCUGGACAAAGACUGACGCUCAGGUGCGAAAGCGUGGGGAGCAAACA
rnacentral:rRNA from 1 species